rnacentral:lncRNA from 1 species
CAAAAAGUAUACAGAUCAUUUGACCAUCAUAAGAAACAACUAUAUUAAGUUUCAUGAAAUUUGGAUAAGUCGUUCUCAAGUUACGGUGCGACAUGUUUACGCCGGACAGAUGGACAGACGGACGGACGGACGGACGGACAGACAGACGGACGGACGGACACCGGACAUUUGUAUACCAUAAUACGUCCCGUCAAAAUUUUGACGGGCGUAUAAAAAUG